rnacentral:ribozyme from 14 species
ACAAAGAAGAUGAUGAAGAUGGAAGAUGACGACACAAAACGUGUUUGUUGUGGAUCUUUUUUUUUUUUUUCUUGAGCUGUUUUCUUGGUGGU